CUCUUCUGGCCUUUUAGGGAUGACUUAAAAGUUUUAUAUUCCUCUACAGGGAGGAGACAGUGUAAAGAAUUAAAGAACACAUGUCAGAGCAAGAACUGAAAUUUGGCAGGAGAAACAUUGAACUUCACACUCCCAAAACCUCACAGGAAUCGUCCAAGAGCUUACUGAAUUCAAGGGAAUUUUUGGCUGGCUUCAAUGUGCAUUGGAACAAACCCAGAGGGACUCUGUUCAGCAAAAUACUUAGGUGGAUUUUACUUCAGGCACGAGCUUAAUGAGACUUCAGCAGGAAAGAUAUUCUUGAUGGAGAAAGUGGAGAAAAUUAGAGGUAAAGCUGGAGCAUCAAGAUAGGUUAAAAUCCCAAACCUGGCUUCAGAAUUCAAAUCCCUGUCUGGCUUCAAAAAUCAAACCUUAAUCUACAGUCUGAAAUCUGAGGUCUGAGGACACAGCAUUUGGAAAUGGUGCGUGCAAGGGGGCAGGAAUCAGAAGCACUCAAGCUGUGGACUGCACUGAGGCAGAAACCAGCAGUUGCGACAAUAUCUUGGCAAGCAGGAAGCUGCUAAAGAUGACAGUGCGGGACUAAAAAAGAAUGAGAGGCCAUGGAGCACAGUCAUGGGUUGACAUCUCCAAAAAAGCCCAGAACAAAGCCUGGAAGCUUAAAAUCUCAAGACUAGCU